CCGCAAACAAAUCCCACAUGACCAUAGUACAGAGAAUAACAGAAUGGUCAGCCUAGCCAUUGAGGGCGCUUUUAAGCUAAACGAGGGGAGAAGUAAUAUUACCACGGGCAGAGAUAACAGAAGGAGCUAUCUCUAAGCGUGUGCUGGCCGACUGUAGCUUUGUAGCUAGUCCUGGCGUUAGCUAGGUAGUGUUCACCCCUUGGGCUAAUAGCCUAGCUAUUGCUAGCACCCUGUUAGUGAAGACAAAGCAUGUGGCCUAGGCUAACUUAGUCUCAAAAGUAUCCUUGUUCUCUAGUGAAAAAGCAGUACAAAGCACGUAGCGCAAGGUGGGCUAGUGGGUACAGAAUCUAUCUGUAUGGCGCUAGUUUAGACCGGAGACCGAGAAGAAGCACACUUCCUUUUGGUAAAAGUACUCAACACUCUGGACGAGAGGCUGUAAUCCUGUGCUACGCGGGUGACCUGCGAACGGUUAAACAGGAAAACGGAUUCAAGUCAUGCUGAGAAGUGCUUAGAGAGCUUGGGAUUUCCAUAACGAAGAAAAUUAGAAUGUCAGAGGGCUGGACCGUGGUACUAGUCCUGGUGAGUCUAAUGGUGACAGAAGGGAGAACUGUGGCAUGCUUUGGACGCAGUUACGAGACCAGGAAUGAAAAGACGACUGAGCAACUACUGUGCUGUACAUCAGUGGAACGAGGAGGAGAGCCAUUGGAAACACCUUCGAGGCAACAGAAAAGUAAAUGAAUAGUCCAAAAUGGAAAUGUAAAAGGAAAUGGAGGAUGAAUUUGUUUGUGGCUUUUCCAGAUAAACCAGGAUGAGAAGGAAGAAAACAAGGUUGACAGCCUCCUGGUUCGUUGAAAUGACGUGGAAACAACGUUGAUACAACCAGUUUGUGCCCAGUGGGUAUCACAUAUAGUAAACCCCAGACUGACUGGACGGCUCUCAAGUUGAGAAGGUGGUUGACCAUGGAGAUGUCUGAGGACAUUGUUUAUGCCAAUGAAGACGUUAGAGGAAAACAAAGUGUUUCAGGGGAUCAUUUUUAUAAUAGAGGAGACAACAUCUAUGAAGACAUUUAUGAAACUCCAGACACCAUCAAGUUUAAUGACUUCAGAAACAAGACUGAGGAUGUUACCCCAAGGAGCAGACCAGGAGCUAAACUCUCAGAGUCUGAGCAACCAGAGAAGAGACCUUUAAGAGCUGCAGCAGUGUGUCUGGGGCUGUUGAGCGUUCUCCUACUGGCUGGGAUCAUAGGACUGUACCUCUACUAUGACAGAGUAUAUAACAACUUGACUGAAGACAGGGACCAGCUACAGACCAGUUACAACAAUCUGAUUGCAGAGAGAGACCAGUUACAGACUAGCUACAACAAUCUGAUUGCAGAGAGAGACCAGUUACAGACCAGUUACAACAACCUGAUUGAGGAGAGAGACCAGUUACAGACCAGUUACAACAAUCUGAUUGCAGAGAGAGACCCGUUACAGACUAGCUACAACAAUCUGAUUGCAGAGAGAGACCAGUUACAGACCAGUUACAACAAUCUGAUUGAGGAGAGGGACCAGUUACAGACCAGUUACAACAACCUGACUGAGGAGAGAGACCAGUUACAGACCAGUUACAACAAUCUGACUGAGGAGAGGGACCAGUUACAGACCAGUUACAACAAUCUGACUGAGGAGAGGGACCAGUUACAGACCAGUUACAACAAUCUGACUGAGGAGAGAGACCAGUUACAGAGGGAGAGAGACAUGUUGGUUUGGAGAGCUGGUAUUUAUUUUUGUUCUGCACUAUAUAUUUAAUUACUCAUUAAUAUCUAGUCCAGUGAAUCGUGAUGUAUAACAUGU